rnacentral:rRNA from 1 species
UACGGGGGGGGCAAGCGUUGUUCGGAAUUACUGGGCGUAAAGGGCUCGUAGGUGGCCAACUAAGUCAGACGUGAAAUCCCUCGGCUUAACCGGGGAACUGCGUCUGAUACUGGAUGGCUUGAGUUCGGGAGAGGGAUGCGGAAUUCCAGGUGUAGCGGUGAAAUGCGUAGAUAUCUGGAGGAACACCGGUGGCGAAGGCGGCAUCCUGGACCGACACUGACACUGAGGAGCGAAAGCUGGGGGAGCGAACAGG